rnacentral:rRNA from 1 species
AGUGAACGCUGGCGGUAGGCCUAACACAUGCAAGUCGAACGGCAGCACAGUAAGAGCUUGCUCUUACGGGUGGCGAGUGGCGGACGGGUGAGGAAUACAUCGGAAUCUACUUUUUCGUGGGGGUUAACGUAGGGAAACUUACUCUAAUACCGCAUACGACCUACGGGUGAAAGCAGGGGAUCUUCGGACCUUGCGCGAUUGAAUGAGCCGCUGUCGGAUUAGCUAGUUGGCGGGGUAAAGGCCCACCAAGGCGACGAUCCGUAGCUGGUCUGAGAGGAUGAUCAGCCACACUGGAACUGAGACACGGUCCAGACGCCUAAGGGAGGCAGCAGUGGGGAAUAUUGGACAAUGGGCGCAAGCAUGAUCCAGCCAUACCGCGUGGGUGAAGAAGGCCUUCGGGUUGUAAAGACCUUUUGUGGGGAAAGAAAAGCAGCAGGUUAAGACCCCGCUGUUCUGACGGUACCCAAAGAAUAAGCACCGGCUAACUUCGUG